ACUGGGUGUGGUGGCACAUUCCUGUAAUCCCUGCUACUUGGAGGCUGAGGCAGGAAGGUCUCAAGUUUGAGGCCAGCCUGGGCAACUGAGUAAGAUCCUGUCUCAA
rnacentral:sRNA from 1 species